rnacentral:SRP_RNA from 1 species
CCGUGCUAGACGGGGAGUUAGCGGUGCCCUGUACCCGAAAACCGCUUAGCGGGGUUUAAAUCCUAUCUUGAGGGUUAAGUCUGACACCUCUAGUUUGGGAAUGGAUAUUGAGAGCUUGGCCCUGCGCGGCAAAGUCCUGCGAACCGCGUCAGAUCUGGAAAGAAGCAGCGCUAAACAGUGUACUUUGAGUGCCGCAGAACAGCCUGGCUUGAGUUCAGACCCUAUAGCUAUGUGAAAGUCACUGAUUCGAUUGAUGGGUGCACGG